GUCGCACUUAAAAGCCGAGUACUCUACCGUUGAGUUAGCAACCCGAAAAAAAUUAGAAUAUGUAGAUACAAUCGGAAUAAAAAAAUGGAAUUGCACUAGGCAAUCAAAACACGAAAUUAGCAAAAAUUGGAAUAAAAAAAGACACGAAAUUCUCAGAUAAAACCAUAGAAAUAGAAUAAGUGAAAAUUUGCGGACCGCCUCCUGUCUUAUUCAUUCCAUUGUUAUCCAUUUUUUUUUGUUUCAAUACAAUUACAAUAAAUAGAAGCCCCCUUUUCGUACGCACUUCAAUCAUAUUCUAAAUAUUCUACUAAAAAAUAAAAAACUAAAAAGUGGGUAAAAACAUCUAUCUUCUCUGCGAAUCGUUUUUUGAACAAUGGAGUCCAUGAAAAAAUUAAGCGCUAGAAAAAUAAACUCUCUCCCUAUAUAUAUAUUUUAUGAUUAUUUUGUCUUUAUCUCAACGAACAGAUCAAAUCAGGAAUUCCUUUCAUUUUUCUGGUAUUCAAUCGGAUUGGAAUAUGUAAUAUCAUAAUAAUGGUAGAAAUUGAAUUAUUUUUUUUAUAUUCUAUACAAAAACAAAACUCCAUGCGGCGAU
rnacentral:lncRNA from 1 species